rnacentral:rRNA from 1 species
UACAGAGGGGCAAGCGUUGUUCGGAAUUACUGGGCGUAAAGGGCGCGUAGGCGGCCUUCUAAGUCGAACGUGAAAUCCCCGGGCUCAACCCGGGAACUGCGUCCGAUACUGGAAGGCUUGAAUCCGGGAGAGGGAUGCGGAAUUCCAGGUGUAGCGGUGAAAUGCGUAGAUAUCAGGAGGAACACCGAUGGCGAAGGCAGAUCUCUGGGCCGUAACUGACGCUGAGGAGCGAAAGCAUGGGGAGCGAACAGG